rnacentral:rRNA from 1 species
AUUGAACGCUGGCGUCGUGCCUUACACAUGCAAGUCGAACGGUAACGGGCCUUCGGGUGCCGACGAGUGGCGAACGGGUGAGUAAUGUAUCGGAACGUACCUUUCAGUGGGGGAUAACGUAGCGAAAGUUACGCUAAUACCGCAUAUUCUGUGAGCAGGAAAGCAGGGGAUCGCAAGACCUUGCGCUGAUUGAGCGGCCGAUAACAGAUUAGCUAGUUGGUGAGGUAAAGGCUCACCAAGGCGACGAUCUGUAGCGGGUCUGAGAGGAUGAUCCGCCACACUGGAACUGAGACACGGUCCAGACUCCUACGGGAGGCAGCAGUGGGGAAUUUUGGACAAUGGGGGCAACCCUGAUCCAGCCAUGCCGCGUGAGUGAAGAAGGCCUUCGGGUUGUAAAGCUCUUUCGGCCGGGAAGAAAUCGUAUGGGCUAAUACCCUGUGCGGAUGACGGUACCGGCAUAAGAAGCACCGGCUAACUACGUGCCAGCAGCCGCAGUAAAAC